AAUCCCGUGAACCAUCGAGUCUUUGAACGCAAGUUGCGCCCGAAGCCUUCGGGCCGAGGGCACGCCUGCCUGGGCGUCACGCAUCGCGUCGCCCCCUCCCCCCGCUCCCRCGGGCGGGGGGCGGAGAUUGGCCUCCCGUGCGCCCCCGUCGCGCGGCCGGCCC
rnacentral:rRNA from 1 species